CCCUUUUAGUUUUUGACCAGAGAAAACAGAAUAAGACUCAAGCUUUGCAGUUGGGGGAGAAAGAAAAUGUUCAGGCUAAAACUUCCAAGAAGCAGCAGCAACACUGUAUGAGGCAGCAGACACUUAAAAGGCUUCUACCCUGGCCAGCAGCAGCGGCAGGUUUAUGGCAAGACCCGGGGUCUCCUCGUCAGAGUCAUCCCUUGGGGGAUAGAAGCGCUUUGCCUUUGCCACAAAAUCUUCAGCGAUAUCAAGGUCAUCAUGACUGAAUGAAGCCUUGAGAGUCUAUUCUGUGUCCACCCUCCCUCACAUACCGAGGAUCCCAUGCGGGUCUUGUUCCUGGCCUGCAGCAGGCUGUGAAGGACCCGGUCAUCUUCUCUCUCCGAGUGGCUGGGGUCUCCUGGCGUACUCCAUAGGUUGGUCUCCUCAUCACGGCGCUUCUGGACUUCCCGGUUAAAGUACUCCAACGGAUCCUGACUGUGGAGAGACACACACAAGCACCCAGAAGCACAGUUAUGACACAUUAAUACAGUGAUUGUAUAUCAUUUAUCAGCUGUGACACAGAGAAGUCACUUACUGACACUAUAAAAUAUAUUUUUGGUGUCUUAUAUUCUUUUCUAGGUCAUGAGUGUAGCUGAUAAGUGGAUGAUGAGAAAACAUGUAUUAAAGUGGUAUGUGGUGAA